rnacentral:tRNA from 1 species
GCUUCAGUGGCGCAAUUGGCGGCGCAUCUGAUUUGUAAUCAGGCGGUUGUGAGUUCGAGUCUCACCUGGAGCU